rnacentral:lncRNA from 1 species
CACCUCCUCACCAACCCUUGUUGUUUCUUGUGUUUUUGAUUUUAGCCAUUCUGACAGGUGCGAUGUAAUAUUUCAUUGUGGUUUUGAUUUGGAUUUCCCUGAUUUGUGAUGUUGAGCAUCUUUCGGUGUGUCUGUUGAUCAUCUGUAUGUCUUCUUUGGAGAAAUGUCUGUUCAUGUCUUCUGGCCAUUUUUAAGUUGGAUUUUUUUUGAGUGUUGAGUUGUUUAAGUUCUUUAUGUAUUUUGGAUACUAACCCUUUAUCAAUUAUGUCAUUUACAAGUAUCUUCUCCCAUUCAGUAGGUUGUCUUUUAGUUUUAUUGAUUGUUUCCUACACUGUGCAGAAGCUUUUUAUUUUAAUGUAGUCCCAAUAGUUUAUUUUUGCUUUUGUUUUUCUUGCCCCAAGAGGCAUAUUUAGAAAAAUGUUGCUGUGGCUGACAUCAGAGAAAUUACUGCCUGUGCUCUCUUUUGGGAUUUUUAUGGUUUCAGAUCUCACAUUUAGGUCCUCAAUCCAUUUUGAGUUUAUUUUUGUGUAUGAUGUAGGAAAAUGGUCCGGUUUCAUUCUUUUCCAUGUAGCUAUCCAGUUUUCCCAGCACUAUUUGUUUAAGAGAUUGUUUUUUUUCCUAUUGCAUAUUCUUGCCUCGUUUGUCAAAGAUUAAUUGAUCUUAUAAUUGUGGGUUUAUUUCUGGGUUUCCUAUUCUGUUCCAUUGAUCUAUGUGUUUGUUAUUGUGCCAGUACCAUACUGGUUUGGUUACUACAGCUUUGUAGUAUAUAUUGAAAUCUGGAGUUGUGAUACUUUCAGUUUGUUCUUCUUUCUCAAGAUUGCUUUGGCUAUUUGAGGUCUUUUGUGGUUCCAUACAAAUUGUAGGAUUAUUUGUUAUAGUUCUGUGAAAAAUGAUGUUGGUAUUUUGUUAGGGCUUGCAUUUAAUACGUAGAUUGCUUUGGGUAGUACAGACAUUUUAAUAAUACUAGUUCUUCUAAUCUGUGAGCAUGGAAUAUCUUUCCAUUUAUUUGUGUCAAAAGACUUCUUGAGAAUUUUAGACCAUGAUCUAUUACUGUAAUUUCUCUUUGUCUGUAUAUCUCUACACAUUUUUAAUUUCAUAAUAACAGUUUUAGAAAUAAAAAUGGUUAUUACUAUAUAUAAUUAGAGCAAUGUGGAUAAAUUAUUUUAUGAAAAUAUAAGCUUUAAAACUCCCUGAUAAAAAUGUAAAAGGGGCAAAAGGUCUCUUAGUUUGAGUUCCUCCAGGGUUAGGACCUGGAGGACUGCAGUUUAUUAGGGAGGUGAUCCCAACAAGCAGCAGUGAAAAAUAAGGGAGAAUGAAAUGCCAUUGAAAGUUGGGUCAUGGAAGUUGCAGCUGUGGACAAGGGGACAACUGAGGUUCCAUCAGGACCAUUGGAAAACAUAUAGAAUGCCUCUCAGGAUGAUCCAUCUGUGUUUCAGUUACCUAUUGCUGCAUAACAAACCAUACCCAAACUUAGCGGCAUGAUUUUGUGAGUCAGGAAUUAGAUUAGGGCUCAGCCACAUGGAAUCAGCUGAGUUCACUCACUUGGCUGCUUUCAGCUGGUGUCUCAGAUGCCUGGAAAGUUCAAGGUUCUUCAUUUACAUGUCUGGUGCCUUGGUAUUCCUUCUUGUGGCUUCUCUUUCUUCAAGUGGCUAGUUUGGGCUUCCUCACUGCAUGGUGAUCUCCUGGUAUUUGGUCAAAGUGAGUCACAGGGUCAGCCUAGAUUCAAGGGCAAGGGAAGUAGAUUCUACUUCUGGAAGGGAGAAGCAACAAAGAAUAUGUGGCCUUCUUUGAUCUGUCACAAGCUAAAACACAGGGAUGUGGGAAAUGUCUCCAUUGGUUUCAUCCUCCAUUGGUUGAGAUUCUUUCCAGGGUUUUUAACUUACCUGGUCACUUCUCACACAUGACUGUGUUCACUAAAGAUGGGUCACUAGUGACACAGGGUCAGUGUGAGCUUGCACAGAACUUCCAGCACAGUUCCGGCUGAAUUCAAAAUUUUUAGCAUAGGCUCAUGGGGAGCAGCAUUUAGAAUUAGUCACCCACAUCUUAGCUAACCAAAAGCAUUACUUAAGGACAAUAUGACCAUCGACUUUGGAGGUGUCUAAGCCUGGGGUCAAGUCCCACUACUUGUGAGGUAUGAAUUUCAGUUUCUUCACCUUUAAGGGGAAUAUAAUUGUAUUUUCUUUGUAGGCAGUAGUGAAACCAAUGAUGAGUGUACCAAGGACCCAUGCACUAUGAGGUAUUAUGUACCAGUGUCCACUGUUUAUUACUCAGUCUACUUCAUGCAGAAGCACUGUCACAGGCAGAUGCAGAUUAAAGAUUUUAUAAUGCCUUCAGGGGAAGGAAGGCAAUAAUACUAUGGCAAAUGUAAGUAAUAGUUGUAAGAUGAAAUUUUAGGCUUUUUAAAGUGUAAGGAAAAUAGGUAGUAGUUGAAGAACGAUGAUGUGUAGUUUUUCCUCUACAUUUUAGCUUUUAAGAUUUGUGUACUGCUGUAUUUUAAAUUGUAUCAAAAAGAAUGCAGUUUGGUUCCUGUCAAAUGUCAAAUGCAUAUACCCAUAAGUAAAUGGCAAAAUAAGCCCCCCUUUUUUAUUUUAGUCAAAAUUGGGGCAAAGGAGUUAAUUAAGACUGUCCAUCUGGACCUGGAGGGUAUUAUGCUGAGUGAAAUAAGUCAAUCGGAGAAGGACAAGCAUUAUAUGGUCUCAUUCAUUUGGGGAAUAUAAAAAAUAGUGAAA